AACUUUUAACGGUGGAUCUCUUGGCUGGUGCAUUGACGAAGAACGCAGCCAGCUGCGAUACGUAAGGUUAAUUGCAGAAUAUAUUGUGAAUCAUUGAAUCUUUGAACGCAAAUUGCGCUUUUGGUUAUACCGGGAGCAUGCCUGUCUGAGUGUUG